rnacentral:lncRNA from 1 species
GAUGAAGAGAAGGUUGGUGAUGAUGAACACAGUGGUCAUGUACACAUUCAUACACAUGGAACACACGGCCAUGCUCAUGGCUCUGUCGUCCCUUCUGAAGAGCAAGAAGCUGGUGAUCCAGACCUUUUGAGGCAUCGGAUCAUAUCACAGGUAAGGAUAUCAAAUAUUUACUUUUUUUAACAUGUGCCCAGGAAAAAUUAGUACUAAGCAAAUUCAAUUAUGCAUUGUUCACAGGUUCUUGAGCUGGGAGUAAUCAUCCAUUCAAUAGUUAUUGGAAUUACCUUAGGAGCUUCGCAAAGUCCAGAAACAAUAAAGACUUUACUUGCAGCCUUGUCCUUCCACCAAUUUUUCGAGGGAUUGGGGCUUGGUGGAUGCAUUUCUCAGGUAUUACCAGCUAUUCCUCUCUACCAAUUACUCCUUGCAUGAUAUUACUAAAUUACCAACCUUUUGUGUAAACCUGAAACGCAAUACGAAGAAAUGAACAAAAUUUAGAUAGAAGUUCUCCUAAAGUGGCAUGGUUCAUACUUGCUUGACUAAUCUGUUCUGGUAAUAUGCAGGCAAGAUUCAGAUCUCUACAUACAAUACUUAUGGCAGUAU